GAAGUCCCGCCUCUGCCGCGGCCGCAGCCACGCACUUAGCCCGGGCCCGGAGGGGCGGGCGGCGGAGGGCCUCGGUGCACCGAGCCCCCAGAUUUCGACCGUGCGAGGUGUCCGGGCUGGGGAGCGAGAUCCGAUUCCGGAGCUGCCAUGAUUGAAGUGGUAGCGGAGCUGAGCAGAGGUCCUGUGUUUCUGGCGGGGGAGGCGCUGGAGUGUGUGGUGACUGUCACCAACCCCCUGCCUCCCACUGCCACUUCUGCAUCAAGCGAGGCUCUGGCCUGGGCCAGUGCCCAAAUCCACUGCCAGUUCCAUGCCAGUGAGAGUCGAGUAGCACUGCCUCCCCCAGACUCCAGUCAGCCAGAUGUCCAGCCUGAGAGCCAGACUGUCUUCCUACCACACCGAGGUGAGAGGGGUCAGUGUAUCCUUUCCACUCCACCAAAAAUCCUGUUCUGUGACCUGAGGCUAGACCCUGGAGAGUCCAAAUCAUACUCCUACAGUGAAGUGCUGCCUAUAGAAGGACCACCCUCCUUUCGGGGUCAGUCAGUCAAGUAUGUCUACAAACUGACCAUUGGCUGCCAGCGUGUCAACUCACCCAUCACUUUACUCAGGGUCCCUCUGAGGGUUCUUGUGCUGACUGGCCUUCAAGAUGUCCGGUUUCCCCAGGAUGAGGCUGUAGCCCCAUCCAGUCCAUUCUUGGAGGAGGAUGAAGGUGGGAAGAAGGAUUCAUGGCUUGCUGAGCUCGCUGGGGAGCGCCUCAUGGCUGCCACAUCGUGUCGCAGCCUCCAUCUGUAUAAUAUCAGUGAUGGCCGAGGAAAAGUUGGGACAUUUGGCAUCUUCAAAUCUGUAUACAGACUCGGCGAGGACGUGGUGGGGACCUUAAACUUAGGGGAAGGAACUGUAGCUUGUUUGCAGUUUUCAGUAAGCUUACAGACCGAGGAGCAGGUACAGCCUGAGUACCAGCGGCGCCGCGGGGCAGGGGGUGCCCCCUCUGUGUCUCAUGUCACUCAUGCCCGGCACCAGGAGUCCUGCCUCCAUACAACCAGAACCAGCUUCUCCCUCCCCAUCCCUCUCAGCUCCACCCCAGGCUUCUGCACAGCCGUUGUAUCCCUGAAGUGGCGUUUGCAUUUUGAAUUUGUAACAUCCCGAGAACCAGGUUUGGUGCUCCUACCUCCCAUGGAACAGCCUGAGCCUGUCACUUGGACAGGGCCUGAGCAAGUGCCUGUAGACACCUUCAGCUGGGACCUCCCCAUCAAGGUGCUGCCUACAAGCCCUACCCUGGCCUCAUAUGCAGCCCCAGGGCCCAGCACCAGCACCAUAACCAUCUGAAACUGGCCCACCGUGGCACUGCUUUCUUCAGGAUACUGAGAACUCAGCACCUGGACUCCAUUUACUUUAUGUGAAGGGGGAGGGAGUUCACUGCCACUGAUGCCAACAACUCUUCCUCAUAUCCUCCACGCAGUCUUUUCCUUGGUGAGUUGUACUGUAAAAUUCUAAUCAUUACUGUUGUGCAAUAUCAAAAUGCCUUAUUUAUGUAGCAAUUGCAGCACACUUGUCCACACCCAGGGAAACAAGGUGAUGUUCCACCUGAAAUUAUUUCCACUGAGGUGAUAGAUGAUGCCAUGAUUGUGGAUGAACUCACUGAGGAAAUGAGUAUAGGAAGAAGGAUGCAGAAAGCUGAGGACCAGAGCGUGGGAGAGGGGAAGGCUACAUUUCAGAGGAGGAAGAGGAUCUGCACCACACUGAGCAAUGAGCAGACGCUGAGAUGGAAGGAUGACUAGGAGAAUGAGCUGUGGUUGAAGCCAUGGUAAGAAGAAGGUGAUGGCCAAUAGUGUGUUUGAAGAAUAAGGGAGGGACUUGCUGUCAUCUGUAAAGUAGGAACUUCCUCAUCUCCAUCAUUUAUAAAAAUUUUACACUAGAUUAUUCAAUUCUAUUCAACAAGUAUUUAUUGUGCUGAAUCCUAACUGUGGUGGAGUUGUAUAAAAGAGGUACAAAUUGUUUCAAAGUAAUUUGUCUUUAUAAACGAAUAUACCAGUAAUUUAUACAUAAAAUCUCUAUCAGUUUUGACUGGUAUAUUUAUUAAAUGGAAACCACAGACCUAUUUCAGUGACAUUUAAAAAACAUAUUUUGGUAUCCUUUCAUUCCUGUGAUGCCUUUUUUUUUUAAACCCUUAUGUAGUUUUUUUCUUACUAUAAAAUAGUACAUAAUCAUUAAAAAUACAUUUAUACAUAAAAUUAUAACUCAUCUUAGCCCCAAAAGAUAGCCAUCCUCAAUAUUUUGAUUUCUACCAUUCCAGAUUUCUACUAUGUGUGUCUGUGUGUGUGUGUAUGUGUGUUUAAUAAAACUGGACUUAUUCCAUACAUUUUUCAAUUUUGUUUCCAUUUAAUAAUGUAUGGUGAACAAUCUUUGAUACCGUACAUCUCUUGAAACAAUGUUUAGUGGGCUGCUUGGAUUUUAAUAUAUGAGUGUAACCUAAUUUAAUUAUACAAUGUCCUAUUACUAGAAACUUAGAUCUUCCCUAAUUUUUCAAUAUUAUAAACAGUGCUAUGUUAAGUAUCUUUGAAGCGAAAUCUAUGAUUGUUUUCUUCAUCUAAAUUCUUGAAGUGGAAUUGAUGGGUUAAUGGUAAAAACACUUUAAAGGCUUUGGUGGAAAUUGCCAGGUUGCUCUCUAAAGCUGUAACAGAUUGUGCUCCUGCUAGCAGUACAUGUCCUUGCCCUUCCCCAAGUUAUCCUGAGGAUGGGGAAGUAGGAAGUCCAUAAUGCUCCUUUCUCUCUCUUUCCCCCAAACUCUUUUUCUCUCCUCUCCUGUGUUCUUUGGGGGAAAGAGGAAAACCACUUCUGUCUCUUCAUUCCUCCGUAUAACUCAGUCUGUAUUCACACCAAUAGCAGUGAACUCUGAAUUAGAAAUUUUGGAAUCAGGGUCUUUGUUCUCGGUAGCGGUCAAUUCAUUUUUGGUUUCACUGCCACGUUUCCGGCCAGGAAAACAGAAAUCACUCUAAGUAUUUAAAUUAGAGGGAAUUUCAUCCAGAGAAUUAGCUAUAAAAGUGAAGGAAGAGCUGGGAAGCCACUCAAGGGAAGGCGAGGCAAUCCAGAGAUCAGCAACAGCUGAAGGAACAAAGGUAAGUUAGAAGCUGGAACUUUGGAGCGCCAGCCCGAGGGCAGCUGCAGUCACAGGGGACACGCGAUUUCUAUCGGAGAUGCUGGCCUAGGCGGAGGGACACAAGGAGGUCCUCUGGCUCCGGCGUCCCUCUGACUUCCAUUCUUCGUCGGUGCCUCUCGUUGACUGAAUUCAGCAGGGACUCAGGGGGCCCAGGGCGCGGUCUGUGAGUGUCAGCCUCACUGGAGAGGAAGAGGAGCGGAUCUGAUAAGAACAAGGUCGCGGACUGACGGGUGGGUAGGGCCAGUGGGAGGGGAGGGAGCACGUGAUCGCUCUGCUGCGUAAGCUGGCUUUUGUCUCUUUCUAGUUAGUCCACUUCUUAAGGGUGGGUGAGGCAGGGAACUAUGUUCUGACUUUUAUUUUUGUGUCCUUUAAAAGCCUCUCAUAAAUAUUGUUUACAUUGAACCCAAUUUAACGGUUUCUCAGCUCUCUUUUAGUCGUGUAUCACUGACCGGCUCCCCUCGGAAUUUUUAGUGAGAUGAAACAUUUGAAAACCUUUGCACAGAUGGUGGGCAACCUUCCCUGCCCUUUUUGCUAGACAGUUUAGUUACUCUCAGUAGCUGAUGGGAGGUGUUCUCAGCUGCCAUUUGGUGGGAGAGGCUAGCGUCACAUUACUGCUCCAGUUUUCUCUCUCGGGGACCUAGCAGGUGUUUGAGGACAACGACUGUCUCAUCUACUCACAUGGAGUCUUUGUAGUCAUUUAUAGCACAUCUGUUGUUUUUAGAGCCUUAUUUUCAUCCAAAUAUGUGUGUAUGUACAGUCGACCCUUGAACAAUGUGGGGGUUAGGGGCGCCGAACCUCCAGACAGUUCAAAAUUUGUGUAUAACUUUACAAUUGACCCUCCAUAUGUGGUUCUCUUCUGGAGAUUCAACCAACUGUGUAGUACUACAGUACCUAUUUAAGUGAAAAAAAAAAAUCCACAUAUAAGUGGAUAUCAUGGCAAGAUACUGAAAAAUGGGUUAAAUAGUGUUAAACAAUUAGAAUAGUUUGGAUUAAACAUUUCAUCUGGCAUGAAAUGUUUCUGGGUAUAUGCAUGUCUGAUCUUCCAGAAUUUGCUUUAUCUGCAUGAAUACUCCUCCUUCCUCCUACAUAUACAACAAUGAACUCUUACCUUCCUGCUUGCUUUCUAUUAGCCUAUGACUUGUUAAUCUCGGGUCCUGCCCCCUUCGAGGGUCUCAGGAGAUCCUGGGUCCAUGUGUCUCUGAUUUAUAUGCAAAAUUUUGUAUGUAGUAUAUGUGUGGUGUGCCUUUUGUGGGGGCAGGGGUGGGGAGAGAAAGUGUUUCAUCCUGUGUUCUAUCCCCAGUCUGUUUCUGUCUUCUUUCUUUAUUCUGCCUGAACCUUCAGCUCCUGAUUCUUUCCCUCAUUCAGAAGAUGACUUAGCCUCUUCAUUUAGGAAUGCAGUUGAGCCCCUUGUUUCAUACAACCUUUCCUUCACUUCAGCAUGUUGUAGAAGAUACAGAGUUGAAGUUUUCCUAUUGUCCUGGAUUUGGUGACUUGGGUCCAAAAAUGAGGACAGAGAAAGUAAGUACCACACAUUCUGGAGAGAGUUGCUAAUGAUUGGGGACAUUCACCCUUUCGGAGGCUUACAAGGAAGUAGUAGAUGGCCCUGGUACCUCACACCACUAACCACCCGUCCCUCAUCACCCUACCUCAUUCCCAGUCAAUGUAAGGUAUAAAAUGACUCAAGGAGGGAGUCAUGAGCUUAGUAGGGAGUAUUUUCCCCUCCUUUUGCCUCCCAAACCAAGCAAGAAGAUAUCAAAGAGAGUCUACAUGAAAGAGAGACCACUUUCUCCUUCCCUACUUAGACUGUCUAUUUGGACAGUGGACUUGUUUAGCUCUGCAUUUAUCUGAGAAGAGGAAAGGCAACUGGAAGUGGAAGGACAGAGAGUGGGUUAGUGGUGGAAUAGCCUGUAUUCUUUCUGUUUGGCUGAGUAAGGAUAUACGAGUUUCUUGUGGUCACAGGGACACUGAGGAAGACAGCUGAGCUUGAGCCAUCUUGCUGGUAGCCUAUGCCAGAGGCUGCCUGCUGGAGUUAGGAGGGUUAAAGGAAAUGACCUGGAGUAAGAUUGUCUACAUUAAGUCACAAAUCAGCUGGGAGGACCCAUGGGACUUUCUACAGAACACGCACAAGUGCCCCAUAAGAGAUCCAGCAUUUUCACAUCUGCCAAACAUCCACAGCCAACAGUGGUUUGUGAUAACAACUACCUUGUUUUAAAGUAAGUAUUUACUUUUCUGUCUAUUCCACUAGGUCAUGUAUUUUAUGAAAGAAGGAAUGUUAUCUUGUUAAUCAAGGUACUUCAACACUGGCAAUACAUUUUAGAUGUCAAAUACCCUGAGUUCUGCAUGAUUUUCAAAUGUUCCACCAAACAUUAGUAUAGAGUGUCCAUACAUAAGGAAAUCUCAUCUGUUAUUACCUAUCCUAACACGGUAUUUAAUUUAGUAUUUUUUUAAUGGAAUGGCUUCUCUUAAAUCCUAAUUUACUCAUUCCUUAUAAUUUGGUGCAAACAUCUGAGCACUUCCAUAAGUCUUCUGUCAUAGUCUUGUACAAUCAUUUAUGUAUUGAAAUACCUAUUAAUUUAUUGUAAGUUAUUGUUCUUUAUUUCUCUUUUCUAUUAGAGUUAGGACAUUUUAUUGAUGUUUUGAAAUUACGUGUAUAGAUAUCUUGUAUUAUCUAUGAGUUUCAUUUUAGGUUAGUAAAGGUGCUGUUAUUUAAAAUAUUUAUUGGAAGAAAGGAGGCUUAGGUCUGAUAGCAUCGAGAGUCACUGUGUAGCCAUUGGUUUUCAAAGUGCUGUUUCGAGCCACAGAGCUCAAACGUUUUACUCAUGGGUGCCCUGAAAUAAUAAUACCUACCGCACCACAGUUUUACGUUGAAAUCUAACAUUUAUUAUCCACACUUAUAUUUAUAUAUUGUUAAUAAGAGAUAGAAAAUAUUAAUCAUUUUAUAAAUUGAAAUAAGCUAAGGAUUGACUAUAAUGUUAAAAAAAAUUCAUGAUGACUUGAUAAAGUAGACUUUUAACUGUCUUAUUGAAUAAAAGCACACCAAAACCAAAAUCAGUUACUUAAUUUUUUAUCCAUGGGUUUUAUUCAGUGUAUCUCCAUAUUUUGGUGGCCUAUAAAACUUUCCAGUUAGAUUUUGUUUGUUUGUUUGAAGUCAUGUUAUUGAGGUAUAAUUUAUAUACAGUGAAAUUCAACUUAAAUGUGUACCCCAGUUACUUUUAAAAGGAAAUAUAUCACAAACGUAUUUUCCUUUGGCUAUACCAAUGUAGAGAAUCCCAGCAUAGCUACUAACCACUCCAUUUCCAAUGCCAGGUUUACCCUUAACAGAAGUAUGUAUACGGUGAGAAAGGCAGGAAGUCCCAUUAGUUUAAGGCACCUUGAUUAAUCUUUCAAUGUUUCCCUAGACCAAUAUCUUCAUUUAUAGAUCCCUUUGUUACGGGCCCCAGUUUUACACUCUAGAACAAUUCAUCAUAGUAAGGUUUGGCAGGGGCAAGGGACAUGACUUUCUUUUUUAAAGUAGGGGAAGGACUGUGUGAGCACAAGCGCAUUCUUGGGCAGAUCAGUUUUAGGAAAGAGUACAUGUGGAAGACGAGGGUCUAGAAAGGGAUUCCCCUGAAACCAUCUGUACAUACAUGGCUCUUGGAAAAUCCCCCUGUCCGAGGGCUGCUGCCCAGAGGUUCAAGGCUCAGGAGCUCUGUCUGAGAGGUACGAAGGGCAGGGGACGUGGGUUUGUGGGCUCACCUCCGCUACUUCAUCUGAAACAGCUGGGCUUCUUUUCUGUUCCACUUUAAACUUUUGUUUGAAGGGAGCGUUUUGCUGCUAAAAAUAACAAUUUGAAAAACACAGCAUCCAUGGGGAACCAUUUAAGAGGUUCAAGCAGGGAAGUGACACAAUUAAGUUUUUGUUUCAAAAGAUCACUCUGGCACCUAAACAUAUCAUCGUGGAGGAUGGAUUUGAGGCAGGUGAGAUUCGAGGCCCAGAGACUUGUCACAGAGGCUGUUGAAACAAUCCGAAGGAAAAUUUGUAAGAACUAGCAAUUCUCGGCUCCAUCCCAGAGCAUCAGUAUCCCCUUUAGAUGGAGCAGGGGCUUCAUGGAUUGCAAAUCCCCAUCCAGCUGCCUCUCAGUUUGCAUUUCCUGGAUGGCCCUGGAGGGCCUUUGCCUCUGUGACCCCUGCCUUAGGGAAUUUUUGACUCUUUCCUCCUCACCUGUAGAUCCUGUCUACCACCAAAUCCUGUUGUUUCUUCCUUCAAAUUAUCUCAUAUUUGUUUCUCUCUCUCAGUUACUGUGCCACUGUCUUAGACCAGCCACUUAACAUUUCAUACUUAGAUUUUUUCCAGGAGCCUCUUAACCUAUCUCCUGCUUUCAAUCUGUCUGCCAACCAAUCCUACAUUGCCACUGUAGCUACUCGUAUUGUUUUCCAUGACAUAUUGCAGCCAUGCAAAGAGAGUACAGUUCUGUCAAAUUUUGCUUCAGAUUUCUCCUCCUCUUCCAGUCUUUGGCUUCUCUAGAAAAUUCUAAGUAAAACAGAAGAUUAAAAUGGGGAUUAAUACAUUUCCAUUCUCUAGAAACUUGUUUAGAUCUAGAUCAUUUUCCUUUGCUUCUUUUUAUCUGAGAUAUUUGUAAAUUGAGCAGGACCUAAAAAGUGAGGGAACACAUGCCACUUUUUUUUCAGUGAGAUUUUGUGAAGUGAGUAGAAUUUUAAAUAGAGUGGAGAAGGAAAUAUAACCAAGGAUAUUAUAUCUGGGACUUCAUGGUAUCAGAUGCUCCCAAAGGGUGGUAAGUUAUUACUGGGAAUGGUAGUAAUGGUGAAGGGUGGGACUAGGAACAUAGGGAAGCAGUAUACCAACCUGAGAAAAGAGGCCAAGCGUAGACAAGCAGUGGAAACCACUGGGACUUUUCUGGAUACUCACAGAGGUGCCAGUCCAGGCUUGGACGGAGCAAAUGGGUGAAAAAUGGGUUCACCUGGAGCUUGAAUCAUUAUGAAGAUGAAUAUACAUGGUUGCUUCUCUUGACAGUCCUUAAAUUCCUUCUUAGGAAUCACUGGUUCUCCAUGAAGCAUUUUCCAUGAAAACUGAUAUUUAUGACUCUCACAGUAUGUAUCAGUUCAACUCUUAGAAUACAUAUCUAGAUGGGUAAGUUAGAAGCUGGGAUCUGAUUUGAAAACAUUUUAAAAUUUAAAACUUCUUAACUUAUAAAUGAAAGCGAUGCAUGAAUUUAAGGUAAAAACCUUGACCCUUUAAACAAUAAUAGUAGCUCUUUGAGGAUGUUGAAUAUUAUGAGAAGUGGACUGGACCCAAGGUCUAGAACCGUACUGUGCACAGCUAUGGAGGGUGAGGGAAAUGGGGAGAUGGAGAGUGGGCCACAUGAACAAUAAUGGGGGUUUGACCUGUUUUCAGAAUUUUCUGUCUUUCCCUCACUGGGGCUAAAAGAAAUAAUGUGGAAUUUUAGUAAAGUCUUUCUCUGCCUUUAAUACAUUUCACUAUGUUUCUCUUUUUAUACUGCCUCCUUCUCUCCCUUUUUGAAAUGCUGCAUUUGAAAUGUAUCCCCUUUUGACUUUUUAGUCUUAGUUUCUGUGGCUGCUCUCUGCCCUUUGUUGGCAAGUUCUCUUGGACCUGUCUGUCUUGUGCAUAGGAGACAAUCACACAUAAAUGAAAGCCUUUUUUUCUGCAAAACAGUUUGGUCAAGCAGAGAGAAAACUGGAAAGUGUUUCAUUUCUCUGGAAUCUUAGAGGCCAGGAGGCAUGGUCUGGUGUAGAGCAAACCUGAGGGUCCAGAAUUAGCUGUGAAAUCAGGUGAGUUACAAGUUCAGGAUUGAACUAGAAGUCUGCUUGGGGCAUCAAGGCUUGACAUGGAGAAUGGCAUGAGCCCGAACCCCAUGGUGACCUCAGAACUCAGCAAGGGUCUUGAGGCUCCUUUGGCCUGCACAUGACUGAGGUCAGGAUUUCUUUGCACUAAGGAACAGGGCAGCUUGGAAAUUACAGUAGUUUCUAGCAGCUAGCUAAUUUGAUGCUCCACGAUUUAGUUCUGGAUCAGAUGUGAGGUGUUAGGGCUGGCUCUGUCCCAGAAGAAAUUAUAGAUGGUGUCAGCAAAGUAGUUGGAGGCAUUAGUGACCCUACAGAGAGAAAGCUGGAUCCUAGCUGGGUGCUGCUCAGGCCAGCAGGAACUUUAGGUUUCCCAGGCUUUGUAUGAGUUGCAGUAGGGCCACCAAAUACAGUCAAAUCUUAUUGUCCUUAUCAGUGAGAACAUAAUUAGAUAGUUGAAAUAUGUAGAUUAUCAAAGUUCUCAUUUAUCUAAUAUUUUCAGUGUCCCCCAAAAUGAAAAAACAAAAUAAAAACCUUUCAUCGGAUGUUAAGAAGAGACAGCAUUAAGUGAUUAACUUUAAUCCUUCAUUUCCCUUUCCCACUUCCUAAUGUUAGUGGCCAGUUGGAAGGAAGGGGGAAGGGGCAAGAUGCUUGAAAUGACAUAUCAUGCAUUUGAACUUAUCUAGGAGUCUGGGCAACAGUGGUGUUGAUCCUCAUCUGGGUCUGCAGGUUUUCCAAAGAGAAUCAUUUGGGUCUUUGAUGGCCAUUACCCUCUAAGCAUGGCUUCACACAGUGAGUUAGAUAAGUUAGCAGAGUAUCUGCACAGAGCCCCACCUUAGAGACCAGGAAACCUGGAUUCUACUCUCUGCGCUAUUAAAAAACCAUAUAGGGUUGGAGGAGAGGGAUGGGGGAGGAAGCUAUGAGACUUCCCUUUCUGGGACUCAGUUUUCAAUUAUCUUUAGAAAAGAGGAGUGAAUAAUAUAAGAUUCUGGGAUUCUGGCAGAGAUCAUAUCCUUUGGAUUUGCUUCUUUCAUUAAACUAAUUGCUUGAAAAGUAUUAUUUGGUUGACUGGGUCUGAAGUUAGAGCCAUGUCUUUUUCAGAUUGUCCCAUCACCCUUUUGACUGUUCUGUCCUUCCUUUCCUUGCUCAGAUAGAAUGAAAUUUCUUUACAUUAACAGUGUCAGGAGCUGGAACUGGAGUUACAUCUGUUUGUAUUAAAGACAGCUGUCUUCAAGUUUCCAUUUCUACUGGGCUGGGGGCAAGAGAUUUUGUUGGGGACUUGAAUUUGGCCCCAGGGAUUCCAACUGUAUGUUCCUCAAAGGUAAGUCUGUAUCAUUCAGCUUUUUGUAUUCACCUCCAUAGCUCGUGCAAGACAGCCAGUGCUCAAUAAAGACGUACGUACCUAAGAAUAAAAUGGCAUUGUCUUUAAUUUCCCCCCAAACCACUAGGUGUCGCCUUCAUCUCAGAGAAACUAAGCCCCUC